rnacentral:rRNA from 1 species
GGAUUUGAUCCUGGUCCAGGAUGAACGCUGGCGGCGUGGAUAAGGCAUGCAAGUCGAGCGGUGUAAGCCCGCAAGGGUUUACGCAGCGGCGAACGAGUUAGUAACACCUUGGUACGUACCCCGAAGUCGGAGAUAGCCCCGCGAAAGCGGGGGUAAUACCCGAUAGUCUCGCAAGAGUAAACCCGCAAGGGGCUUUGGGAGCGGCCUAGGUCUGAUCAGCUAGUUGGUAGGGUAACGGCCUACCAAGGCUAUGACCAGUAGGGGACCUGAGAGGGUGACCCCCAACGACGGGACUGAGACACGGCCCGUACUCCUACGGGAGGCAGCAGUCGAGAAUAUUCGACAAUGGACGAAAGUCUGAUCGAGCGACGCCGCGUGCAGGAUGAAGGGCUUCGGUCUGUAAACUGCUUUUCUGCCUUAGAAAGUUAUUGAUCACGGCAGGAAUAAGGAGCGGCUAACUUCGUGCCAGCAGCAGCGGUAAUACGAAGGCUCCAAGCGUUAUCCGGAUUUAUUGGGCGUAAAGCGUGCGUAGGGGGUCUUGUGCGUCUAUUGUUAAAUCUCACCGCUCAACGGUGAGGCCGCAAUAGAUACGGCAAGACUAGAGGGUGCGAGAGGUUACUGGAACAUACGGUGUAGGGGUGAAAUCCGUUGAUAUCGUAUGGAACACCAAAGGCGAAAGCAUGUAACUGGAGCAUUCCUGACCCUCAGUGUACGAAAGCGUGGGCAGAAAAAAGGAUUAGAUACCCUUGUAUUCCACGCCCUAAACUAUGUCGACUAGCUGUUUCGAGUAUCGACCCUCGGAGUGGCCAAGCUAACGCGUUAAGUCGACCGCCUGGGAAGUACGGCCGCAAGGCUAAAACUCAAAGGAAUAGACGGGGACUCGCACAAGCGGUGGAGCAUGUGGUUUAAUUCGACGGUAAGCGAAGAACCUUACCAGGGCUUGAAAUGCACUUGAAGACCGGCAGAAAC